GAGUUUGAUCUUGGCUCCAGGACGAACGCUGGCGGCGUUGCCUAACACAUGCCAAGUCGAACGGAGAACUCAAAAAGCUUGCGUUUGAGAGUUCUUAGUGGCGGACGGGUGAGUAACGCGUGGGCAACCUCCCCCUUAAACCGGGACAACCCUUGGAAACGAGGGCUAAUACCGGAUACGCUUUUCUGAGGACAUCCUCGGGAAAGGAAAGGCGGCCUCUGAAGAUGCUGCCGAUAAGGGAUGGACCCGCGUCUGAUUAGCUGGUUGGUGGGGUAAAGCCUACCAAGGCGACGAUCAGAGCCGGCCUGAGAGGGUG
rnacentral:rRNA from 1 species